rnacentral:rRNA from 1 species
AGACGUAGGGGGCGAGCGUUGCUCGGAAUCACUGGGCUUAAAGGGCGCGUAGGCGGUUGUGCAAGUCUGGGGUUGAAGCCCACGGCUCAACCGUGGAAAGGCCCUGGAGACUGCACGACUUGAGUGAGCGAGGGGAGGGCGGAAUUCCCGGUGUGGCGGUGAAAUGCGUAGAUAUCGGGAGGAAGGCCUGUGGCGAAGGCGGCCCUCUGGCGCUUGACUGACGCUGAGGCGCGAAAGCGUGGGGAGCAAACCGGAUUAGAAACCCUAGUAGUCC